GUAGUCUCGCACAGAUGCAUAUCAAUAAGCGGAGGAAAAGAAACUAACAAGGAUUCCCCUAGUAACGGCGAGUGAAGCGGGAAGAGCUCAAAUUUGAAAUCUUAAAGGGUUUCCCUUUACGAAUUGUAGUUUAAAGAAGUGUUUUCUGUUGAGGUUUUGGUAAAAGUUCUUUGGAAUAGGACAUCAUAGAGGGUGAGAAUCCCGUAUUUGACCUUUACUUUCAACUUUGUGAUACACUUUCAAAGAGUCGGAUUGUUUGGGAAUGCAGUCCAAAAUGGGUGGUAAAUUUCAUCUAAAGCUAAAUAUUGGCGAGAGACCGAUAGCGAACAAGUACCGUGAGGGAAAGAUGAAAAGAACUUUGAAAAGAGAGUUAAACAGUACGUGAAAUUGUCAAAAGGGAAGCGUUUGACACCAGUGUUGUUUUUCUGAAAAUCAAUUAAAGAACUGUUUAUGCUAAGCUGUUUAGACUUUAUCAGCUAACUGUUUAGUUUUGAGCUUUUCUUUAAUGCACUUUUCAGUUAACAAGUCAACAUCAAUUUCUUUUGCUGUAAAAAAGCUUGAGGAAGGUGGCUUGAGAUUCGUCUUAAGUGUUUAUAGCCUCUUGCCUAUGCAGUCGGAGAGAUUGAGGUCUGCAGCGUAGAUCCUUCGGGGCUAAAUGCAUUUGUGCUAAGUUAUAGGCAUUUUAUAGACAACUUGUUGACUAUGAUUUGUCUUGUAGCUUACUCGCUUAUGUUAUUUUACCUACGCUUAGGAUGUUGAGUAGCGACAUACGCAC
rnacentral:rRNA from 1 species